UACAGAGGUCCCAAGCGUUGUUCGGAUUUACUGGGCGUAAAGGGCGCGUAGGCGGCUUAACAAGUCACUUGUGAAAUCUCCGGGCUUAACUCGGAACGGCCAAGUGAAACUGUUAUGCUAGAGUGCAGAAGGGGCAAUCGGAAUUCUUGGUGUAGCGGUGAAAUGCGUAGAUAUCAAGAGGAACACCUGAGGUGAAGACGGGUUGCUGGGCUGACACUGACGCUGAUGCGCGAAAGCCAGGGGAGCAAACGGG
rnacentral:rRNA from 1 species